GUACUUUCAGCAGUGAGGAAGGUGGAUAUGUUAAUAGCAUAUUCAUUUGACGUUAGCUGCAGAAGAAAGCACCGGCUAACUCCGUGCCAGCAGCCGCGGUAAUACGGAGGGUGCGAGCGUUAAUCGGAAUUACUGGGCGUAAAGCGCAUGCAGGUGGUUUGUUAAGUUCAGAUGUGAAAGACCCGGGGCGUCAACCUCGGAAUUGCAUUUGAAACUAGGCAAACUAGAGUACUGUAGAGGGGGGUAGGAAGUUUCAGGUGUAGCGGUGAAAUGCGUAGAGAUCUGAAGGAAUACCGGUGGCGAAGGCGGCCCCCUCGGACAGAUACUGACACUCAGAUGCGAAAGCGUGGGGAGCAAACAGGAUUAGAUACCCUGGUAG
rnacentral:rRNA from 1 species